GGGGAAUUUUGGACAAUGGGCGCAAGCCUGAUCCAGCCAUGCCGCGUGCAGGAUGAAGGCCUUCGGGUUGUAAACUGCUUUUGUACGGAACGAAACGGCCUUUUCUAAUAAAGAGGGCUAAUGACGGUACCGUAAGAAUAAGCACCGGCUAACUACGUGCCAG
rnacentral:rRNA from 1 species